GCACAUUUGGGGCGAUUUAGUACUUCCGGAUAGAUUCUGAAAGGACGAGUCGUCUCAGGUAAAGGCCCCAUAAAAUGGAGCUUUUCUGGGUAAAUCCGGUGGGUGCUUCUUCACGACGGAGCUGGCGAUCGAAAGUGCGGCCUAUGGAAAUUGGAGGACCAUUGUUCUUCAAGCUGGCGAUCAGCUUGUGGUGGUCUCUGAUGUGCACACGAAGUGUUUGGCUGGUAUGGAUUUCCGUCAACCUUCAUCGGAGUUCUUGGUCCAGAAGGACCGAGUUCUGAUCCUUCCUGCUUUGGCGGCGUUGAUGCUUGUUUGGAUGGAGUUUCCGCCGUGGGUUCAAGAAGGCCAAACGAGAAGCCACUUCAAGAUUCCUACUCAACGCCAACGGGUAAGGAUCCCGUUGAUUCCGUUCCUAUUCGGAGGAUGUUUCAGGGGCUUUCUUUCUUGGUCAAGGGUUCCCAUUGCUGAAUUCCAAGACUCAAAUUGUGGUUCCUCAGGGCAAAUGAAGAUCCAUUCUAGUUGUCGUGGAGAAGGAAUGCGUUGCUCGUAUUAACAGCCCUUUCAAGUUAGAGCCCGAAUUGGUUCACUCCAAUGGACAACCAAAAGUAUUGAAUCUGAUAAAGGCCCGAAGCUAAAUUUCAAGGGCUACUCAUUAGGCAAUGCAGCAAUGAAUCUGGAUAUUGAAAGCAGUUCAAGGUUCCAUUUGCGCAUAGGAUGGGACUAAUACCAGAUGAACAAUACGAGGAUUUGGUUAACUCAUGUGAAGGGAAAUAUUUUGGCAACAGUAACCAUGAUUGCUUGAGGAACUUGGAAAAUUUUCAAUGGGAGUAUGAAAUGGCCCCAAAAAGACUUCUUGACUUGGAAACUUCAAGGCAGAUUCUACAUGCUAUGCCAGCUGAAGUUUCUGGACCUUAGAUAAGGUGCACCAAACAAAUAAACUUUGAGAGUCAUCUUGGACUUGACACCUUAUCAUUUGAAUCUGACAAAGAAAGGUUAUAGAGCGUUCAUCUAUUGUGGGGAUCAUGACAUGGUGCUCCCAUAUACUGCAACACUCCAGUGGAUCUGAGCGUUGAAUUAUUCUGUGAUUGCAAAAUGGCAUCCGUGGCUUGUUGACGACCAGAUAGAGGGCAUAGGGAGCUGGACAUACUGUGGCCGAGUACAUGCCACGUGAGGCGUUGGCUGCCUAUCAGAGGUGGAUCGAUGGUGCUGACUCUCUGUAACAGUUUGCUUUGGGAACGAACAUGAGAUUUUGCUAGCAAAUAUCUUGAAGUACCUUUUCAAGGCAGAUGGACUAACUGUCGUGAUCAACAGGAUUUUGUGUCUUUAAAUUUGACUAGAAUUGCAGUAACUCUUGUGGGAGCUAUCAUAUAUCAGAUCGAAUUAGCUCCAUCGUAAAACAAGUUGGGUUACUUUAUUUUCUUUUGUGAAGGUUAUUAUUAUUAUUUUGCUGAAUAAAAUCGUGUGAUUGAAGUUA